AUUGAACGCUGGCGGCAGGCCUAACACAUGCAAGUCGAGCGGAUGAAGGGAGCUUGCUCCUGGAUUCAGCGGCGGACGGGUGAGUAAUGCCUAGGAAUCUGCCUGGUCGUGGGGGAUAACGUCCGUACACGGGCGCUAAUACCGCAUACGUUCUGAGGGAGAAAGUGGGGGUUCUUCGGACCUCACGCUAUCAGAUGAGCCUAGGUCGGAUUAGCUAGUUGGUGGGGUAAAGGCCUACCAAGGCGACGAUCCGUAACUGGUCUGAGAGGAUGAUCUGUCACACUGGAACUGAGACACGGUCCAGACUCCUACGGGAGGCAGCAGUGGGGAAUAUUGGACAAUGGGCGAAAGCCUGAUCCAGCCAUGCCGCGUGUGUGAAGAAGGUCUUCGGAUUGUAAAGCACUUUAAGUAGGGAGGAAGGGCAGUAAGUUAAUACCUUGCUGUUUUGACGUUACCAACAGAAUAAGCACCGGCUAACUUCGUG
rnacentral:rRNA from 1 species